CAGUAGUCACUGAAUGGGGACUUUUCUACAGCAAAAUAGCUGGCUAGUGUCCGUUCGUUUGUUUUUGCGGAUUAUAUUUUGCAGGUUAGUGGCUACACUCAAAGUUAAGAAACUGAUCCUGCCGUUUCUCUGUUCACCUUCUUGGAAAGGAAAAGGAAAGUUAGUCACACAGUUGUGUCUGACUGUUUGCAAUCCCAUGGACUGUAGCCUGGCAGGUCCUCUGUCCACGGAAUUCUCCAGCUUCAAGGAUUCGGAUAUUCUGGGGAAACCAAGUGUGAUCUGAAGGUUGAAGCUCAACUGUUCAUUAUUUCUCCAAGUUCUGGGAUAAUGUUAUUAGUUUUUAAGCAUGAGGUGCUUCCCAGGAGAGCUGCUGAGUCCCAACCCGACCAAACCCUUUCACGUCGUGGCCUGUACGAUGCACCAUCAUUGUGGAAUGUCUCUGAGAUGACUUCUGCAGGUGCCACAAGGAGCCAGGCACUGUCCAUUUUAAACACUGAGGACUCAAUGGGACAAGGUACGUUUUCAGUUCCUUGGCGCUUCCCCACUCCUCCUACUGAUGCUUCAUGGACUUACCUCCCAAAUAAACUAGAGUCUCCGGGUCUGCAAAGAAAGAACUCAAGUAGGGCUAGCUUCAUGUGUGUGCGACCUGUGAAAGACCUUGUGUCUAACUGAUUUAACUCC
ensembl:lncRNA